UGGGGAAUUAUCCGAAAGUUAGAGCAGUUUUGGGAUAUAUGAUGAUGAACGUUUGUUCAGAUUUAUAUGUACCCGGAGUACGUUUGGUGAGAAUAAAUGGUCGCUGGUGCUAUCACGUCGAUCGCCUUUUGCCUGUUGUUAAACUGUCGGAGUUGAUCUUUACGUUGAUGUUCAGUGAUACUAUUAUUGGUGGAGAUGAACAGUUGUGUAAAUAAAGAGUAGAAGGUACAUACUGUAAAGCCGAUUCUACAUUGAGUCUCUAGUCUGUAGUCGGUAAUCGGAAGCAGUUUUGUAUAGCAAGUCGUUUAACUCGACCAAUAGGAAAGCCGAUAGAAGAAAGUUGAAUGUUUAGACUGUUAAACUGUUUUAAACCUGUGUAAUCGUAAGUAAUUAGAACAGCGAAAAAUCGUGGAAAGAACGUGAAAUAUUAUAUUCGUACAGUUAUUGUUCACACAUUAAUGUGAACAGGAGAAAAUAAAUAUUGAUCAAGAUGACGACGUGAUUGUAACUAUCAUUUUGAUGCAAAUGAUGACAUUAUUGUUCCCUGUAUGUCACAUCUUGAAUAAAUACAAUGGUUGCAGAUGGUGGCAUAGGCCUGUUAAUAGGCUGUUCACUAAACAAGGAGAAUUUAUAAACUUGUUUCAUGAAUUAAAAGAAAUGGAUCACAAGGAGUUUUACAAUUACACCAGAAUGACUCCUGCAUAGUUGCUAGAAAAAGUUUACCCUCUUCUAGAGAAGAAGAGCAUGCAACAACCUUUUCCAAUUGAACUUCGCCUUGCCAUCACUUUGGAGGCAGCAUCGCCUGUAAUUUGGAGACCCAUGAGAUGAUUGUAUUAGCGUUGGUGAUGCUUUAUAACUUCCUCCUGUCCUCUGAGGAAGAGUUGUCAAUGCACCAGCACCAAUAUAACGUUAUUGAUGGAUCAGAAAGGACCACAUGGCAUGCUACUUCAGAACGGUAUAUGGCGUGGAGAAGUACCUGUUAUAAAUAUGUUCCACUGUGUUGGUAGAAUGGGUAGUAACAAUGCUCUUGCCGAUGCCAUCAAACUUCGAAAUAAUUUAAGAGUUUACUUCAUCAGUGAGGCCGAAGAAAUUGAAUGGCAAUACAAAGUGUUGCUACUCUAAUCUAAACAAUCCUAUUA